rnacentral:tRNA from 1 species
GGGCGAUUAGCUCAGAAGGACAGAGCGCUGGCCUCCGGAGCCAGAGGUCGGGGGUUCGAAUCCCCCAUCGCUCGCCA